GGGGAAUGCUGAGGUGAAAGUGGUCUUACAUUUCCUUUGGUGUCACAGCCAUGCGAGCUCGCACCAUAUCCAGAGGAUACGUCAACAUGGUGGCAGUGGUGCCUGCCAAGGAUCCAGCCAGUAGCCUUGGAAGUGGAGGAGACUUUUGUACUGCUCAUGAGCAGAGAACUGGAUGGCUGCAUACGGGACGACUCGCACCAUAGUGGCAGAGUUGCCCCUCCACAGACUGAGGAAGCCAUCUUUCAACCCAGCCCACAGCUUGCCUUGGAAGAUGAUUUUAGUCCUGUCUAACGGAGCGACAGCUGUCUUGGCCACAGCGCCCGCGACUGCCCCCGAGAAGAGCGUGAUGACCACGGAGGGGGUCUUCUGCUUCGUGCCCUGCACAGCAAAGAAAGGGGUCGCUUGUGUGUUAAUCCAAGUCCUUGUAAUGUGUGAUGAAGCGCAGCAAAUAAACAACCCCUAG